rnacentral:rRNA from 1 species
GCGGCCUAUCAGCUUGUUGGUGAGGUAAUGGCUCACCAAGGCGACGACGGGUAGCCGGCCUGAGAGGGCGACCGGCCACACUGGGACUGAGACACGGCCCAGACUCCUACGGGAGGUAGCAGUGGGGAAUAUUGCACAAUGGGCGAAAGCCUGAUGCAGCGACGCCGCGUGAGGGAUGACGGCCUUCGGGUUGUAAACCUCUUUCAGCAGGGAAGAAGCGAAAGUGACGGUACCUGCAGAAGAAGCGCCGGCUAACUACGUGCCAGCAGCCGCGGUAAUACGUAGGGCGCAAGCGUUGUCCGGAAUUAUUGGGCGUAAAGAGCUCGUAGGCGGCUUGUCACGUCGGGUGUGAAAGCCCGGGGCUUAACCCCGGGUCUGCAUUCGAUACGGGCUAGCUAGAGUGUGGUAGGGGAGAUCGGAAUUCCUGGUGUAGCGGUGAAAUGCGCAGAUAUCAGGAGGAACACCGGUGGCGAAGGCGGAUCUCUGGGCCAUUACUGACGCUGAGGAGCGAAAGCGUGGGGAGCGAACAGGAUUAGAUACCCUGGUAGUCCACGCCGUAAACGGUGGGAACUAGGUGUUGGCGACAUUCCACGUCGUCGGUGCCGCAGCUAACGCAUUAAGUUCCCCGCCUGGGGAGUACGG